GACAGAGGGUGCAAACGUUGUUCGGAAUUACUGGGCGUAAAGCGCGUGUAGGCGGCUAAGUAAGUCGGGCGUGAAAUCCCACGGCUCAACCGUGGAAGUGCACUCGAAACUGCAUAGCUAGAGUCCUGGAGAGGAAGGUGGAAUGCUUGGUGUAGAGGUGAAAUUCGUAGAUAUCAAGCGGAACACCGGUGGCGAAGGCGGCCUCUGGACAGUGACUGACGCUGAGACGCG
rnacentral:rRNA from 1 species